UUGAGAAUUGGCAUCUAGAGGGGAAAUAGGUAUCCUCCACGCGCCUUGAUCAGACUUGGACAAAUUCUCCUCUUUGAUUUGUCAGACACCUGGGCAGAUCUCUCCACCUUUGCUUCUUUCAAUCGUUUUUUUUUUUUCUUUUUCGAUAUUUGCUGUUUCAGCGCUCCGGUAUUACUGGCCCUACGCGGGAAAGUUGCAGAGGCAUUGUUGCAAGCAUGGAGCAAGUACGUUUCUAAAAAAGGACAAAGGACACCUGACGCUCUGACGUACAAGAAAUUUCACGAGGAAUUCGGAAAAUUGGGCACGAGGGACCUACGCAGAGUGAUGCGAGGACUGUGAUCACCAUGCGGCUCACAUGGUCAGGUGUCACACCUUUUGUCGUCGUCACCCUCCUUGGACUCGUCUGGUCAGAGCUGCAGGAAGAACCUCUCUCUCAAGACACAGGAGGGAAGGAGGGAGCCAGUGACGGAGC